CUUUUUAUACUAUUUUGUUGUCCCAUUACCCCACUCCUUACACUAUUUUAUUGUCCCAUCAUUUAUUCUCAACUCUCUUCCUCUCAUAUUUUCUUAUUAUAUGUACAUACACGAGGAAGAAAAGGGGGAGAUCUUUUUUUUUUUUUUUAAAAGGAGCACCAAAAUGGAAAGAAACCGAGUGAGCUAAAAAAGGGGCAACGUCUUCUUCUUCUUGGAGAAAAAUAGCCAUAGUUCCACCAUUGAAACCAGCCAAUAUCACUUCCGGCAAACACCAUUUUCGUCACCUAAUAAAACCUCCAAAAUCGGCCCCCAAAAGCACCUCCAACCUCUGCCCAAAACUGCCCGAAAAAACUCCAUUGCCAGCCAUGGAAGUGAGCUGAAAAACUCCUCAAAACCAUAUGAAAACUCAGCUUGAAAACCUGCUACAAAAUCAGCCCAAAAAUAUGGCAAAAUAGCACCAAAAACCAGCAAAACAAAGCAUUUUUCCACCCCAAUACGCAGCCGAAAAAAGCAGCCUGAAAGCAGUCCCAAAAUGACUUCAAAGCACCUCCAACUUGCCAUGAAAAGUAGCCAAAUCUGACCCCAAAACGAGCUCUGAAAAUUAGCUCCAAAACACCCCCAAACCAGCCCCCAGAAACCCCAACAAACAUGGCGAAAUCGAGUCAAAAACUCCACGAAAACAGCCCCGAAAACGCAGCUGAAACUCAGCUGCAAAACACUCAAAAAACCACCAAAACUCCACCCGAAAUAAGUCACGAAAAUCAACAAAACUACAGCUGAAAAACCACCCAAAACAAGUGUGAAAAUCAGCCCGAAACCACCGUCUCGAGUUCCGCCUGUUUGGGAUCGCCGAUUCCGAUUCAAGUUUCUAGUCCAUAGCUCACUUGAGGAUUAAUGUGUUGGAGCUUCUCUCACUGUACUUGCUGGAAAUUUUAGCAAUAAAGGUUCCCCGCAUAACACAUGUUUGAUGUCCAAGAAUGAAGUUCCAAACUCUGAUAAAAAAAGAAGGUUGUUCGAGCAUAAAGACAGUUGGGGUCAAGCUUUGACAUAAUGCAUACAUCAACUAGCAUCUCAAAAUCCAUCUUCUCGGCUUCUACUUAAAAAGCGAGCAUUCAAGAUUCAAUCCAAGUCUGAGUUCACGCCCAAGCUUCAAGAAUCAAUCUUCAAUCUGAAGGCACCCACCGUCCAAUGCAGGUAAACAAUCCUCAAAUUCAAGGCACACACCUCCAAAUGCGGGUCAUCAAGCUCCAAAUUUAAGGCACCCACCUUCCAAUGCGGAUUUACGAGAUCUCAAGUGAAGAUACAACACUUGACACUAGAAGAGUAUAUAUGACCUUGUAUUUUUUAUUUUCUUUAGUGUAAUUUACUUUUUUAUUUUGAUGCAAUAAACAGGACCGCAGACCGGAGCCUCGACGGAAUCUCACUCGACUCUUAAACUCAUUAUUCCAUCGUUCUUCUUGAACUACACGCGACAUGAUUCCCUUAUAAUCCGGGAUAUGUAGGUUGUCCAAAACCAGGACUCGGUUGCACUCUUUUCUUCAUUUUUUGAAUAAUGGGUUGGUAAAAAAAUUAGUCACAAUGCUCACCUUUUCUUUGCUUGAAAAGUCUUCUUGUUACCAAGCAAAGAGGGGCAUGAUGUGAGCACCUCGAGUUUUCUAUAAUUCUUUUUCGUGUUUAAUAUUUUCUAUGCUUGAUAUUGAUAUUUUAGUUCUUAUAUUUUUUGCUAGGCUUUAUUAGAGAAUAUGUAAUAUUAUUUUACACAGUCUACUACAUAGUGGUCGCAAAUAUUUAUUUUAAAUACGGACCAAAUCUAAUUAAAUUGCCUUCCACCUUCCCUAUACUAUUUUCUUGUUCCAUCCCCACUUCUUAUACUAUUUGUUUGUCCCAUCAUCUCACUCCUUACACUAUUUCAUUGCCACAUCAUUCAUUCUCAAUCGUCCUCCUCUUAUCUUUUCUUAUUAUAUGUACACAAAAAUGAGGAAGAAAAGGGGGAGAUUUUUUUUUUUUUUAAAAAGGAGCACAAAAAGGGAAAGAAACCGUGUGAGCUAAAAAGGGGGCAACAUCUUCUUCUUCCCGGAGAAAAACAGCCAUAGUUCCUCCAUUGAAACCAGCCAGUAUCACCUCCGUCAAAUACUAUUUUCGUCACCUAAACAACCUCCAAAAUCGGCCCCCAAAAGCACCUCCAGCCUCUGCCCAAAACUGCCCGAAAAACUCCAUUGCUAGCCAUGGAAUUGAGCUGAAAAACUCCUCAAAACCAUCUGAAAACUCAGCUUGAAAACCUGCUACAAAAGCAGCCCAAAAAAUACGGCAAAAUAGCACCAAAAACCAGCAAAACAAAGCAUCUUUCCACCCCAAAAUGCAGCCGAAAAAAGCAGCCUAAAAACAGUCCCAAAAUGACUUCAAAGCACCUCCAGCUUGCCAUGAAAAGCAGCCAAAAACGACCCCAAAACGAGCUCUGAAAAUUAGCCCCAAGACACUCCCAAACCAGUCCCCCAAAAGCCCAACAAACAUGGCAAAAUCGAGUCAAAAACUCCACGAAAACAGCCCCGAAAACCGCAGCUGAAACUCAGCUGCAAAACACUCAAAAAACCACCAAAACUCCACCCGAAAUAAGUCACGAAAAUCAACAAAAAUACAGCUGAAAAACCACCUAAAACCAGUGUGAAAACCGGUUCAAGUGUCUAGUCCGAAGUUCACUUGAGGAUUAAUGCUUUGGAGCUUUUCUUCACUGGACUUGCUGGGAAUUUUUGCAAUAAAGGACUUGUAAGAAGCAAUUUGAAUCUUUCCAAACUUUGGGGAGCCAUAGAGCAAGUCACAAGAAACCAAAAUUCAACAUAGCCGCAAAUCCAAUUAAACAAAACAAGAAAGAAAUAUGAAUGCUCCUUUUGUGGAGAGGAAUUCUCUCUUGGACAAGCUUUAGGUGGCCACAUGAGAAAGAACCGCGAUAAAUUGGGUGAAUUGCAGAAACAUAAACAACAUGAUAUUGAAGAUAAUUAUGCUGGUGAAGUUGUUGAGACGACAGAGAAAGGAUUUUGGGUACUGAAAGGCUUUGUUCUUGGAUUUAAAUUUGACACCAUAUGAGAAUGAGUUGAUGCUAGGGAUUAUCCCGCUUAGAGUAGUUCAACAUUCUUGGUUAUAACCUUUUGAAUUGUUUCCGUUAACUAUAGUAGUUUUGUGAUUUUUUUUCCUUUAGAGUAGAUAAUUCUAUGAUUUUGAUUGAUUUGUGGCUAGUCUGUGUAUAGAAAAAUCUACAGUCUAGGUUACGGAGUAAGGGGAAGGUAUGGAUUAAAGUAGGUUACGGAGUUGAAAGUUUGAAAUUUGAAGGGAGGAGAGUGGCAGUGGUUUUGGGCUAGCCCUUUAAUUGGUUUUGGGCUGUUAAUUGUAUGAUAUAUUUUGUGGCUAUCUAUUGUCAUUAGUUUUUUCCGGAUGGCUACAAAUGAA